UUUUAAUUUCGAAACACACGAUUUUUUAAAAUACAUUUUAAAGAUAUUUUCAUCAUGUAAUAACAUACACAUCUUUCUGUAAUAAAAGACAAAAAUUAUCUUGAAAAUUCCGAGACUUUAGUAGGCUUAUUAUCUCUUAUUGCCUUCCCAUAUGGUGUCAAUAAAAUAGUACAAAUUUUAAUUUGUAGCGAUAAAUAACAAAGUGUGUGCAUUGUUCAAAGUGCGAAAUGUUUGUGGUAGUGCCAUUCUUAAUGCAAAAAAGAUAACGAAAAUCAGAUCGUGGCUAUCAGAUCUUUUAAAAUGUAUACGUUAGUUCUCCAAUGAAAUGAAAAACUCAAAACAACUAAUAUUGGUUUUAAGCCAAAACAAAGAAUCCGUAUAUUUCAUAACAAUGGUAAAUUGCCGGAGAUAAGAAACAAGUUUGUUU